rnacentral:lncRNA from 1 species
GUGGGUCCUUCAUAGGUGUGGCAUGUGGGACGCUGCCUCAGUGUGGUUCGAUGAGCUGUGCCAUGUCGGCACCCAGGAUUCGAACCAACGAAACACUGGGCCGCAUGCAGCGGAGCGCGCGACCUUAAUCACUCGCCUACGGGGCCAGCCCGUACCAUUCUCUUUUUACGAUUUCUUUUUACUUUUUGACAUCUGUUUCUACACUACUUCUAGACUGAGACAAAACAGUCACCUCAAACUCAUGAUGACUCAAUUUUUUUUUCCCUUGAAAAAUCUCAAGUAACGUUUAGAAGUUAGUGAUUAUUCUUUACAGACACGUUUGUGUCUUCAAAGAGCACCACUGAAGGCACAAACCAAGUUUUCUUUCAACCAAUAAGUAAUUUUUAUUUCAAGGGUUCGAUGUCCACAUCAAAUAACCAUCUAUUUAUGUGGAUGUGUGUGUGUAAUAGUUAAGAAUGUGACCUAAAUUACCUUCGUCAAGUCUGGCUCAAAACUGGUGUGACUUUGGGCAAAUUGCCUAACCUUUCUUUGUCUCUUUCUUCUCAUCUUUAAAAUGGCAAAAAACGAUAGUACCUAUCUCAGAGGGUUCCUGGGAAGAUGAAUCAAGUCAAUACCCGGAAAGUACAUGGAAUGGUGCCUGGUUCAGACCCCCCGGUACAUAGUUGUAUAUUCUUCGUUGUGGGUCCUUCUAGUUGUGGCAUGUGGGAUGCUGCCUCAGCGUGGUUUGAUGAGCAGUGCCAUGUCCGCGCCCAGGAUUCGAACCGACGAAACACUGGGCCGCCUGCAGCAGAGCGCGCGAACUUAACCACUCGGCCACAGGGCCAGCCCCAAAAACUGGCUUUUAAAAAAAGGGAAGAACCAAGCGUUUAUUCUGUCUUUCUCAUAUGAACUGUCCUACUGGGUAACAAAUAGUAGUUGAGAAGCAUGUCUUCAUAAAGAGUAUUCCAAUAAAGAAAUAAAAAGAACUGACAUAAUUAUAAUAUCACCAUUUUGCAAUACACGUGGAAUAUAGAUCUAGGCAUUGAGCUGCUGUCA